rnacentral:rRNA from 1 species
CCUUGGUUACCUUGUUACGACUUAACCCCAGUCAUGANNNACACCUUAAACGCGCGUCCCAUUGACGAGACUACGCGUCUUCGGGUGCAACCCACUCCCAUGGUUUGACGGGCGGUGUGUACAAGACCCGGGAACGUAUUCACCGCGACAUGCUGAUCCGCGAUUACUAGCGAUUCCGACUUCAUGCUCUCGAGUUGCAGAGAACAAUCCGGACUACGAUCGGCUUUCUGGGAUUGGCUCCGCCUCGCGGCUUGGCAACCCUCUGUACCGACCAUUGUAUGACGUGUGAAGCCCUACCCAUAAGGGCCAUGAGGACUUGACGUCAUCCCCACCUUCCUCCGGUUUGUCACCGGCAGUCUCAUUAGAGUGCCCUUGCGUAGCAACUAAUGAUAAGGGUUGCGCUCGUUGCGGGACUUAACCCAACAUCUCACGACACGAGCUGACGACAGCCAUGCAGCACCUGUGUUCCAAUUCCCUUUCGGGCACUCCCACCUCUCAGCAGGAUUCUGGACAUGUCAAGGGUAGGUAAGGUUUUUCGCGUUGCAUCGAAUUAAUCCACAUCAUCCACCGCUUGUGCGGGUCCCCGUCAAUUCCUUUGAGUUUUAAUCUUGCGACCGUACUCCCCAGGCGGUCAACUUCACGCGUUAGC